rnacentral:rRNA from 1 species
UUAACAAACUUUAAUAUUUGAAAAAUUUAAGUAAACGUAAGAAAAAUCGUAAAACUAAACUGAAUCUCCAAAAAUUUAUUAAAAACUAAUUUGUUUAAGUCUAAUCUGGCUAAGAGAGUGCCAGCAGCUGCGGUUAUACUAUGAGAAACAAAUAGAAAGAGAACAAAUAAACUGGUGUAUCUGUAAAUACAAGGUGAAAUUUAGGUUUAUUGAGAUAAGAAUAUCAAGUUCUGAAGAAACCCACAAGGAUUAGAUACCCUUUUAAACCAAUUCGAGAGAGUAAUUAAAUAAGCGAAAUCUAAAUAAAAUGGCGGCAUUGAACCGAGGUAGGGGAUUUUGUAUCGUAAUCGAUAACCCCCGUUGCAAUUAACCUCCUCUUUAAUUUUUUAUAUCAUUGUUUAAAAGAAAUAAUUUAUUUUAUUUACUAAGAGAAUGAAAUUUUUGGAAAACAAAUCAAGAUAAAAAUUAUGGGCAGGGGCUGACUAAAUACAAUUAAUCGCUAAAUGAACCAACUCAGAAUUAAAAGAGAAAUAGGACUUAAAAUUAAGAUCUAAACUUAAUUUGGAUCUGAAAACGCUCUUCACAUGUGCACAUAUCGCCCGUCACUCUUAAUUGUAAUUAAGAUAAGUCGUAACAAAGUAAAUUAAAUGGAAAUUUAAUUUUG